GAUGAACGCUGGCGGCGCGCCUAACACAUGCCAGUCGAACGAUUAAAGCACCUUCGGGUGUGUAUAAAGUGGCGAACGGCUGAGUAACACGUGGGCAACCUGCCCCUUUCAUUGGGAUAGCCACGGGAAACCGUGGAUAAUACCGAAUACUUCGAGACUUCCGCAUGGAAGACUCGAGAAAGCUCCGGCGGAGAGGGAUGGGCCCGCGGCCUGUUAGCUUGUUGGUGGGGUAACGGCCUACCAAGGCAAUGAUGGGUAGCUGGGUUGAGAGACCGACCAGCCAGAUUGGGACUGAGACACGGCCCAGACUCCUACGGGAGGCAGCAGUGGGGAAUCUUGCACAAUGGGCGAAAGCCUGAUGCAGCGACGCCGCGUGCGGGAUGAAGGCCUUCGGGUUGUAAACCGCUUUCAGCAGGGACGAGGCGAAAGUGACGGUACCUGCAGAAGAAGCCCCGGCUAACUACGUG
rnacentral:rRNA from 1 species